UGUUGUUGGCCAAGUGUGUCGGGGGGCAUGAUCAUGCUUGGUGCUUGUAUAGAUUUAAAAGUAUUUUAAAGUUAAAUUGGCUCAUAUAGAAUUGCGACAAUGGUGCUAGAUUAGUCAUGAACGUCAAAGGAGUUGCAGUGCUGAAAGCAGCGUCUCACACUUAAACAGCAAUAAAUGGUACCGGUGCCGACACAAUUCCCACCAAGGUGAUUUCUUCUGAGCACAUACCCUGCGGCUGUGAAGCACUGCCUGGAGAAGGGGUGCAGUUGCAUACAUUUAACAAGGAAGAACAGCAAGCUUGGAAAGCUUGUUUUUGGGAAGAUUGCAGAUUUGAUGAAAUGAUCUUCUACUAAUUAUGAAUAUAAUACAGAUCUCACUUUGAAUAGAUAUUUUUCGUUUUAUAGAGGUGCUGUUAUCCUGCAAUCCUUAAAUGCCCAUUAUUUUUAUUCCAAAGCCAUGGAACUGGGAAAAAAGCCGAUAUAGUUCCAAUGCACAAAUACAGCACUAAUAGACAAAUAGAAUGCCAAUAGACAUAUGUAGGACCAAUACGCCAAUAGAACAUUACGAAAUAAGCUAAUAGAAUGUCAUAGGAAAAAUGCACCAAUAGACUAAUAGAGGUCUAAUAGACCACCAAUGCUACUUAUAGACCCAUAGGAUACCAAUAGACCAAUACAUUCAAUAUUCCCAUCGGCUAUCGGUUUUUCUAUAGGUGAUUUUUGUUAAGAAUGUUCAUUAAAAGGACACUGAAGAGGUUUUGAUUUCGCGAA